AUUGAACGCUGGCGGAAUGCUUUACACAUGCAAGUCGAACGGCAGCACGGGGGCAACCCUGGUGGCGAGUGGCGAACGGGUGAGUAAUACAUCGGAACGUGCCCAGUCGUGGGGGAUAACGUAGCGAAAGUUACGCUAAUACCGCAUACGAUCUACGGAUGAAAGCGGGGGACCGUAAGGCCUCGCGCGAUUGGAGCGGCCGAUGUCAGAUUAGGUAGUUGGUGAGGUAAAGGCUCACCAAGCCGACGAUCUGUAGCUGGUCCGAGAGGACGACCAGCCACACUGGGACUGAGACACGGCCCAGACUCCUACGGGGGGCAGCAGUGGGGAAUUUUGGACAAUGGGCGCAAGCCUGAUCCAGCCAUUCCGCGUGCAGGACGAAGGCCUUCGGGUUGUAAACUGCUUUUGUACGGAACGAAAAGGCUCUGGUUAAUACCUGGGGCUCAUGACGGUACCGUAAGAAUAAGCACCGGCUAACUACGUGCCAGCAGCCGCGGUAA
rnacentral:rRNA from 1 species